rnacentral:rRNA from 1 species
GAUGAACGCUGGCGGCGUGCCUAAUACAUGCAAGUCGAGCGAACGGACGAGAAGCUUGCUUUUCUGAUGUUAGCGGCGGACGGGUGAGUAACACGUGGAUAACCUACCUAUAAGACUGGGAUAACUUCGGGAAACCGGAGCUAAUACCGGAUAAUAUUUUGAACCGCAUGGUUCAAAAGUGAAAGACGGUCUUGCUGUCACUUAUAGAUGGAUCCGCGCUGCAUUAGCUAGUUGGUAAGGUAACGGCUUACCAAGGCAACGAUGCAUAGCCGACCUGAGAGGGUGAUCGGCCACACUGGAACUGAGACACGGUCCAGACUCCUACGGGAGGCAGCAGUAGGGUAUCUUCCGCAAAGGGCGAAAGCCUGACGGAGCAACGCCGCGUGAGUGAUGAAGGUCUUCGGAUCGUAAAACUCUGUUAUUAGGGAAGAACAUAUGUGUAAGUAACUGUGAACAUCUUGACGGUACCUAAUCAGAAAGCCACGGCUAACUACGUG